rnacentral:rRNA from 1 species
UAGAAGCAGCCAUCAUUUAAAGAAAGCGUAAUAGCUCACUGGUCGAGUCGGCCUGCGCGGAAGAUGUAACGGGGCUAAACCAUGCACCGAAGCUGCGGCAGCGACACUGUGUGUUGUUGGGUAGGGGAGCGUUCUGUAAGCCUGUGAAGGUGUGUCGUGAGGCAUGCUGGAGGUAUCAGAAGUGCGAAUGCUGACAUAAGUAACGAUAAAGCGGGUGAAAAGCCCGCUCGCCGGAAGACCAAGGGUUCCUGUCCAACGUUAAUCGGGGCAGGGUGAGUCGACCCCUAAGGCGAGGCCGAAAGGCGUAGUCGAUGGGAAACGGGUUAAUAUUCCCGUACUUGGUGUUACUGCGAAGGGGGGACGGAGAAGGCUAUGUUGGCCGGGCGACGGUUGUCCCGGUUUAAGCGUGUAGGUGUGUGUUCCAGGUAAAUCCGGUUCACUUUAACACUGAGGCGUGACGACGAGGCACUACGGUGCUGAAGCAACAAAUGCCCUGCUUCCAGGAAAAGCCUCUAAGCAUCAGGUAACAUCAAAUCGUACCCCAAACCGACACAGGUGGUCAGGUAGAGAAUACCAAGGCGCUUGAGAGAACUCGGGUGAAGGAACUAGGCAAAAUGGUGCCGUAACUUCGGGAGAAGGCACGCUGACACGUAGGUGAAGUGAUUUACUCAUGGAGCUGAAGUCAGUCGAAGAUACCAGCUGGCUGCAACUGUUUAUUAAAAACACAGCACUGUGCAAACACGAAAGUGGACGUAUACGGUGUGACGCCUGCCCGGUGCCGGAAGGUUAAUUGAUGGGGUCAGCGCAAGCGAAGCUCCUGAUCGAAGCCCCGGUAAACGGCGGCCGUAACUAUAACGGUCCUAAGGUAGCGAAAUUCCUUGUCGGGUAAGUUCCGACCUGCACGAAUGGCGUAAUGAUGGCCAGGCUGUCUCCACCCGAGACUCAGUGAAAUUGAACUCGCUGUGAAGAUGCAGUGUACCCGCGGCAAGACGGAAAGACCCCGUGAACCUUUACUAUAGCUUGACACUGAACAUUGAGCCUUGAUGUGUAGGAUAGGUGGGAGGCUUUGAAGUGUGGACGCCAGUCUGCAUGGAGCCGACCUUGAAAUACCACCCUUUAAUGUUUGAUGUUCUAACGUGGACCCGUUACCCGGGUUGCGGACAGUGUCUGGUGGGUAGUUUGACUGGGGCGGUCUCCUCC